ensembl:lncRNA
GAUGCAAUCCCUCCAAAAUGACCUGGUUUUAUGAUAAAGUUAAAAUAACAGCGACCGCAGAGCGUAAAGGAUAAAGCGAUAACAGCGCAUCACAUGAAAGUCAUCGUAGUAGAACAAAACUCAGUGCGAGCGCAAAUGACAAGGUUACUUACUCUGAAGAUGAGAGCGAAUUGAGCUUCUUCGCGACAGUGUAACAGAGAAUACAGAGGGUUGUUCACCCCGUGAUGAAUAUUGUAAUUUCUCGGGACAAGCAAGAGCGAAGAGAGUGAGAUAGAGAAAGAGCUCUUGUGCGCCGCUCCUCUCUCUGCAUGCAAACUGUAUGUCUCAGCGCACGCGGCCAGGAGGAGGCUGAGAGCGCGCGCUCGCACCAACAAGAUUGACUUUAAGACGCGGCUGAAGGAAGCAGGAAGACGGCGCGUCAUAAUCAUUGUGAUGUAACGCUCCCACCUACCAAUAAGAGCAGUCCGCUGGAUUUAGAGGAAUACAAAACAAGUGAAGUUGAAGACUCCGCUCGAGCAAAAGCGAAUGAUACGGCGACCUUUGUGGGAUAUCUAUGUCCUGGGGGCUAGUGGUAAAGAGAGGAUCAGUGGGAUAGACUGCCAACAGAUAAACAGUGCCUAAUGCUGUGUGGACACUGACGUUGCCCUUUCAUGCUGAUCUGUGACCUGCUACCUGAACCCUAACGUCAGGGUUUGAGGCGAGUUGGCAGUGCGGAGAGGACCAGGCCUGGCCCCGUGCCUCAGUGCCUGCGGGACCCUACCCAGACUGCCACGGCCUUCAGAAUGAAUAGAGGUCUUCAGACACCAGUGCAGUGAACUGAGGCAGCCUUUUCAGCAAACAAUCCUAUCUGCUUCCUCUCCACUCCAGUCGUCCUGCAACUUCACUGAACUCGUCCAGUUUGUCAGGGGGGCUUAUUUUUGUUGUUUUAUUUUCAUGUUUCCCACUCUGCGAAGAAGAAGGAAAAAAAAAAGACCUAGAAUGCUGGAAAUGGCCCCAAAAAUAC